AUUGUUUUUUAAUAAAAACUAGAAUGAAAGGUUAUACAUUCAAAUUUCUUUAUUAAUUUUUUAUAAAUAAUUUAUAUUAAAUAUAAAAAUAUAUUUUUAAAUAAAAAAGACGACAAGACCCUAUUAAAUUUAACUUAUAGUUUAGCUGGGGAAGCUUUUUAAAUAAAAUUUUUAUAUAAUUUUUAAAAAUAUAUUUAAUAAAAUUAAAAAUAAAAUAAAUUACUAUAGGGAUAACAGCGUUAUAUUUUUUAAAAGUUCUUAUUUAAAAAAAUGAUUGCGACCUCGAUGUUGAAUUAUAUUUUCUAUAUUAAUGCAAUAAUUAUAAAAGUAGAUCUGUUCGAUCUUUAAAAUAUUACAUGAUUUGAGUUCAAACCGGUGUAAACCAGGUUGGUUUCUAUCUUUUUAUAUAUAUAUAUAUUUUUUUAGUACGAAAGGAAAAAAAAAUUUUUAUUUUAAUUAUUUAGCAAAUUAAUAUGCAUUAGAUUUAGAAUCUAAAUAAAAUAUUAU
rnacentral:misc_RNA from 1 species